UUCCACUACAUCUGGUGAGCAUGGUUUGAAGGUUGCCGGAGUUAUGGCAAACAACAGAGUGAUUCAAUGGAACACAUUUUCUAGAAUUUGGUGGUUAUAUGAUGCUAAUCACCAGUGUGUGUUCAAGUCAGCGAGGGAAAUCGCGAAAUACCUCCAGGGUCAUCACAAACCCAUCUACCA